rnacentral:rRNA from 1 species
CAUUACUGAGUUUACGCUCUAUAACCCUUUGUGAACAUACCUAUAACUGUUGCUUCGGCGGGUAGGGUCUCCGCGACCCUCCCGGCCUCCCGCCUCCGGGCGGGUCGGCGCCCGCCGGAGGAUAACCAAACUCUGAUUUAACGACGUUUCUUCUGAGUGGUACAAGCAAAUAAUCAAAACUUUUAACAACGGAUCUCUUGGUUCUGGCAUCGAUGAAGAACGCAGCGAAAUGCGAUAAGUAAUGUGAAUUGCAGAAUUCAGUGAAUCAUCGAAUCUUUGAACGCACAUUGCGCCCGCCAGCAUUCUGGCGGGCAUGCCUGUUCGAGCGUCAUUUCAACCCUCAAGCUCUGCUUGGUGUUGGGGCCCUACAGCUGAUGUAGGCCCUCAAAGGUAGUGGCGGACCCUCCCGGAGCCUCCUUUGCGUAGUAACUUUACGUCUCGCACUGGGAUCCGGAGGGACUCUUGCCGUAAAACCCCCCAAUUUUCCAAAGGUUGACCUCGGAUCAGGUAGGAAUACCCGCUGAACUUAAGCAUAUCAAUAAGCGGAGGAAAAGAAACCAACAGGGAUUGCCUCAGUAACGGCGAGUGAAGCGGCAACAGCUCAAAUUUGAAAUCUGGCCCUAGGCCCGAGUUGUAAUUUGCAGAGGAUGCUUUUGGUGCGGUGCCUUCCAAGUUCCCUAGAACGGGACGCCAGAGAGGGUGAGAGCCCCGUACAGUUGGACACCAAGCCUUUGUAAAGCUCCUUCGACGAGUCGAGUAGUUUGGGAAUGCUGCUCAAAAUGGGAGGUAUAUUUCUUCUAAAGCUAAAUACCGGCCAGAGACCGAUAGCGCACAAGUAGAGUGAUCGAAAGAUGAAAAGCACUUUGAAAAGAGGGUUAAACAGCACGUGAAAUUGUUAAA